AUGAACGCUAGCUACAGGCUUAACACAUGCAAGUCGAGGGGCAUCAGGGUGUAGCAAUACACCGCUGGCGACCGGCGCACGGGUGAGUAACACGUAUCCAACCUGCCCUUUACUCGGGGAUAGCCUUUCGAAAGAAAGAUUAAUACCCGAUGGUAUAACAUGACCUCCUGGUUUUGUUAUUAAAGAAUUUCGGUAGAGGAUGGGGAUGCGUUCCAUUAGGCAGUUGGCGGGGUAACGGCCCACCAAACCUUCGAUGGAUAGGGGUUCUGAGAGGAAGGUCCCCCACAUUGGAACUGAGACACGGUCCAAACUCCUACGGGAGGCAGCAGUGAGGAAUAUUGGUCAAUGGGCGAGAGCCUGAACCAGCCAAGUAGCGUGAAGGAUGACCGCCCUAUGGGUUGUAAACUUCUUUUAUAUGGGAAUAAAGGGUGCCACGUGUGGCAUUUUGUAUGUACCAUAUGAAUAAGGAUCGGCUAACUCCGUGCCAGCAGCCGCGGUAAUACGGAGGAUCCGAGCGUUAUCCGGAUUUAUUGGGUUUAAAGGGAGCGUAGGUGGACAUGUAAGUCAGUUGUGAAAGUUUGCGGCUCAACCGUAAAAUUGCAGUUGAAACUGCGUGUCUUGAGUACAGUAGAGGUGGGCGGAAUUCGUGGUGUAGCGGUGAAAUGCUUAGAUAUCACGAAGAACUCCGAUUGCGAAGGCAGCUCACUGGACUGCAACUGACACUGAUGCUCGAAAGUGUGGGUAUCAAACAGGAUUAGAUACCCUGGUAGUCCACGCCGUAAACGAUGAAUACUAGGUGUCGGGGCCCAUAAGGGCUUCGGUGCCGCAGCAAACGCAAUAAGUAUUCCACCUGGGGAGUACGUUCGCAAGAAUGAAACUCAAAGGAAUUGACGGGGGCCCGCACAAGCGGUGGAGUAUGUGGUUUAAUUCGAAGCAACGCGAAGAACCUUACCAGGCCUUGACAUCCCUUGCAGAGGUAUAGAGAUAUAUCCGAGGUUACCAAGGAGACAGGUGGUGCAUGGUUGUCGUCAGCUCGUGUCGUGAGAUGUUGGGUUAAGUCCCGCAACGAGCGCAACCCUUAAGCUUAGUUGCCAUCAUUAAGUUGGGCACUCUAAGUUGACUGCCGGUGACAAACCGGAGGAAGGUGGGGAUGACGUCAAAUCAGCACGGCCCUUACGUCCGGGGCCACACACGUGUUACAAUGGGGGGUACAGAAGGCCGCUACACAGCGAUGUGAUGCCAAUCCCUAAAGCCCCUCUCAGUUCGGAUCGAAGUCUGCAACCCGACUUCGUGAAGCUGGAUUCGCUAGUAAUCGCGCAUCAGCCACGGCGCGGUGAAUACGUUCCCGGGCCUUGUACACACCGCCCGUCAAGCCAUGGGAGCCGGGGGUACCUGAAGUACGUAACCGCAAGGAGCGUCCUAGGGUAAAACUGGUGACUGGGGCU
rnacentral:rRNA from 1 species